GAUGAAGAACGCAGCGAAAUGCGAUAAGUAAUGCGAAUUGCAGAAUCCGUGAGUCAUCGAAUCUUUGAACGCACAUUGCGCCCUCUGGUAUUCCGGGGGGCAUGCCUGUCCGAGCGUCAUUACAACCCUCAAGCCCGGCUUGUGUAAUGGGCGGCCGUCUCUCCCCCCGGGGGGAGACGCCCCCGAAACUCAGUGGGGAUGUCGCGAUACCGAAGCCUCAGCUAAUGGGUAAACCACAGCUGCAAUGGCCGCGGCCGGCGUCCGCCUUCCACGGUCCGUCCGCCUAGCGCGGGCGGCCUUCUCAAGGUUGACCUCGGAUCAGGUAGGGAUACCCGCUGAACUUAAGCAUAUCAAUAAGCGGAGGA
rnacentral:misc_RNA from 1 species